AUCGCCUGAUCCGUGGUUUCGCUGAGAAUCUGGGAUUAAAAUGGCCAUCCGAUACAUCAAGCACAAGUACCUGUGGAUUUAUGUUUUAAAUUAUGAGAAACAGUAGAAACAAAGCAAUAAUGGAGAAUUCACCCGUGGCGAAUUUGGAGGGACAUCAAUCUUGGACAGGUCCAGGAUUACAGAACAUUGCCUUCUCAACACAGGAGCAAACCUCAGAAAGCUCUGCUCUGUCAGCCAGCGGCUCAGUCGACCGCAGAGGGGAUGAUUGCCUGCCUGAAGCCCAAAGCACGCUGUGGGAGUCGGAUGAAGACGUACACAGGCAUAAAGAGAGUAUUAGUUGUGUCAGUCCUGACAAUGUUGAAUCCAAUGAAGCUUUGUGCUUACGGGACCCUGAACAGUCAACCGUUCCCAGUGAAGCACCCUUGGACAUCUGCCCACUGGCCUCAGCCCAACUUCAGGAUGCAGGUAUUGUGUCCAUAUUACCUUGGGCAAAGGACAACUGCUGUUCGGAUCCUGUUCUGGUUACAGAGGACCAGGUGGUUCAGAAUCAUACUGGUCGGACGACAGAUCUAAAUUUUGGAUGUGAAAAGACACCCUUAAAGCCGUUGGAGACAACGUCAAAUGGCCAUGCCUUCAUGCCUCCUGGGGACCCGUUCCCCGUCCUCAAUCUGGGAUCCACUCCCAUCCUCGCUGUCCCUUCAACUGUCCCUGAUCUUGGCCUGAGAGUCCUUGAUCUCCCGCGCAUUGUCAAUUCCGACAACGGAGAGUCGUCGCUGGAGGAGGAGGAGGAGGAUGAUGAUGGUGAUGAUCACAAUGAUGAUGGUGGUGAUGACGGCGACGACGACGACGUGUUCUCAGAGUGUCCUCAGAGCAGAGAGUACGUUGUCAAUCGCAGACAGAGGAGCGCAGGUGUAGACAAAGAGAAGAGGAGAGCGGUCCUGAACGCCAAAGCAGGAAUCGACCACACGGCCAAUCACUGGGGUUCUCAAGCAGAGGGAGAGACCAGCAGUAAGGAGGAGUCUGCGCAGGUCACGUCUCCCUGGUCAGAGUCAAUGAGCCAGCUGAUGAGGAAACUGGACCAGCUUAAUCUAGACAUAGAGGAGGCGCUGAGUGCAAACACCUCUCCCUGCAACACACCCUGCACCGCCCGCAAGCAACAGUGUGGAGCUGUUUCUAAGUCCACCUUGAACCAAGCGCCGGACCACCAAGUCCUCAAACAGCCAGGCAGAGGAGAAUGUCCGAGCCGAGACCGGUCCUCUGCUCCUCGCAGCGCCUCGAUGGGAACAAGAGCAACGACCAGGAAGACGAUGUUCAAUAAGAUGACCAACACAACAGCAGCAGGUAAGACUUUAUUCAUGCUUUUCCUGCCAUCAUUCAUGAAGGUAACACUGAAGCGACACGCAAGGUCUCGAACAGGUAUUCGGUCCGUUCCUCAUGAGCCUGAGAUGCUCUGGCUAACAUGGACAAGUCUGUUUCUCUUCCUCUCAGCUGGGUGACGCAGGUAGAAGCAAAGGAUCAGAAGAUGUGUUGACAAUAGGAACCUUGUGGAUAAUGGAAAGUUCUAUAAACACCCAUUCGUGUCGCAGGGGCUACAUUUCGUAUCAUGAAAAUCCCCCUGCAAGUUGAUCCUGCGCUGUGUCCUGGAUGCGUGGUGGCUUUGCUCAGGCCUCGGAAAACGUUGACAGGACUGACAGCCGCAGGUGUCAGCUCCCUCCCUCCCUCCCGGCCGGGGUCUCAAGAAUGUCUUUUAUUUUAAACGCCUUCUUUGUGAUGGUCACUCGGCGGGUUGCGGUUAAAAUUAGGCAGCGCGCCAGAUCAUUGUUUUAUGUUUUGCUGAGGGGAAAUAUUUGGCCUGUGUGAAACGGCCCUUGGGGGGCAGCUGCGGGAUUUGGAUGGAUGCCAUUUUGGGCUCAGGUUGCACUCUCACAUGACCUCUGUUGUGCAUGACGGUAACGCACAAGUGGACGUUAUGGUCUGGAAAAAUUCCAUGUCACUUUUAUGCAGCAGUUAACUAAUGUGUGGUCUGCUGGUGUACAAGAGAUAUGCGCUGGGACUGAUGUCCCUGUAAUUCUUGGAAACCAUUGUGAGACCACCGUGAAUAACGUCAACAAGUUUGUCAACACGGCUUUGAGAUUCUCCUCAAAGACAUUUAUCAUUCUAUUUUCCCAACAGCAAGUUGUGUGCAUUCUCUCUCUUUCAGACGCCUGUCUUGGCUGAAAUAAACCAGACGUGAGAUGGUGUCACUAUCAACAUUAUACGUAAUCAUGAACGUCAACAUAUUAUUUAAACUGGAAUCUAAAGAUAAAAUAACUGAAUGAAAGUCACGAAUGUUGUAAAAAGGACAAAGGUGGCAGAGAGUCAGACAAUAUUCCCUGUUGUGCUUUCCAGCUGGGCUACGGAGAGACCUCUUUUAUGACGCGGCUACGAGGUGGCCAGAUGGUUCUUGGUAUCCUCCAUAACAAUGCUUUUCCACCUCAUUGAAAUAGCGUCGCUGAGGAGAAAAAAAGCACAUUCUUUGGGUCCAGAUCCAAAAUAGCAAACCAACAGUGAGAAAGCCUUCGGUGUUUUGUGCUAUGAACGCGCUGCUUCUUUUUAUUGCGCUCACAUGUACAUGGUUUGUACAUUCAGUGCAUUUGCAAUUACACCAACCAUUUAUAUCGACAGCUAUGCAUGAAGGAAGUAAUAUGGUCAACAAUAGCAAGCAAUUAAAGAAGAACGUGCGCAGCGAUUAUUCAUCUACAUUUCUGAAAAUAAAUAAAAGAACAGGAACAUUUAUCUUAAGUUUAAUUUAGCAUUUUUUUAAUCAACUUUGCAUUGAAUCACAGCUCUGCAGCGGUUAUAACCGCCGUGAAUUCUGCUACACAAUGUCGGUUUGUCUCAUAGUCAGCACAGAUAGUGAGCGCUGCACCAUUAAGAAUUAAGAAAGUAAUUUUUAAAAAUAGUUUGGGGGAUCUCAAAACUAUUUCUUCUUGUUUUCAUUUAUUUAAGACUAUGUAAGGAAUUUAAACAGUAGACCUUUUAUAGCCUUUUAUAUAUUUUUUUGUUUUUCCUGAGGCAAAAAAACAAAACCCCGUGCUCCAUCCUAAAACCGCAUAUGGAUGUGCUCAGAGAAGAUUUGGUCCUUGGAGGAAGGAAAGAAAGCUUAAUCCUCCCUCUCGAAUGUUUAUUUUCUGAAGGCAUUACUCAGCGUGUAUAGAACAUUUUUCAAGUCUUGAGUAGAUGAUGGGCCAAAAGUUCCUCUCACGCGGGGUAAUUUGUAUGGAAAUCUAUUCCCUCCAGUAUCUCUAAUUGCAGUGUGGAAAUGAAUGGCUUCCUCUGGCGAGGGGAGGCGGCUCUGUUCAUCUUGCUGCCCCGAUUGAUAUUAAUCAAAGAAUUGAUGAAUCGGCACUGCAAUGCUCAGAGCUCCACAUUCUGUCAGAGGAUGCUGUUGCAAUCAUCUGUCUGGCCUGAGGCACGUUUCUAGCUGGCAGAGCUAAUAUUUUGUAAUGCUUAUGGUCAUGAUUUUGAUCACAGCUAAUGUAAAUUUUGCACAUGUAUUUGUGUUCAACAAAAAAAAAAGACGCAGCAGAGAGAUUAAACAAACGGAAAGAUUGACAGGGUCCAAAGAGAAGCAGUUAUGCAGAACUCGGCGACUUUUUGACUUGCAUAAAUAAAUUGUCAUGUGCAUUGUUAUGCUAAACAUCACCUUCCUAAACCUGCUUUCAAACAGACGGACAUGGCGUUUACACAGAUCCUCUCUCUGAAUAAAAAUGCUAAUCUACUUUCAAUGUAGAAAUCUCCUGCUACUGAUUGUGAGAAAAACAAAGAGGAAAUUGUGAAGUCCUUGGAGACUUUCUUUCUAUUUGGAAGGAAAUGGACGUUAAGCCGUCUCCCCCUCAGACGUGGCACUGUAGAACCGAGGGAUAAGGGAUGUGUUCAGGUUUAAUCCAGGCGUGUUUCCUUCAGUGGCUGUGUCAAAUGACGGAUUCCCAAAAGCCGCUUUGCUGCUUUUAUUUAUUGUCUAAUCAAGCCGAGAACUGUUUUCCUACUGAAAGAAGUAUCUUUGGCAGAAAGUUAAAAGAGGUUUUUAAAUCAACUUGAAUAUGUGGGAUGUAAAUAAGAAAUGAGGUGAUUUGAUGAGAAGUAUUUAUCUCUGGGAAACAUCAUCAUACAUUUUCUUUCUUACGUUACCAGCGGUUAUCAAUGACUCCUAUGCGAUCUCGGUGAGUAUACACAGCCAGUAAACUGUAGAUCACCAGUCCGACCGGAGGUGAAUCACUAGUGUCCAUUGUAUAAUGUGUAUGGCUACUACUGCAUUACAACCGGGUCGUCCCAUGUGUUUGACCCCUGCUUGUUCAGAGACCAGGCCUUCAGUCUCACCCGGGGUCACUGCCUGCUGUUGGAGGCUGACUGUGACCUCAGGCAGCUGCAGUGUCUCUCUAUCUCUACAGGCCUGUUACAGACUAUCGCAAAACAAAAACAGAACAAAAUCAAAUUAGACUUAUCAGGAUUAUAAACGCUGUUUGGUCUCUAUUGGGUUCUGACCUCAGUAAUGUUUUUAUUAGGAUUUCUUUUCUGUUUAAAAAAAAAGUUCACACUCAUUACAGUAAUUCAUGGUUUUUGAAGGAAUCUUACAACAAUUGUAUCAUAUGAGAGUCAUCGAAUGACUCUGAUCCAUGAUCCAUGAUCUGUAAUAUGCUGCUUGGAGUCCGUGUUCCAGUUCCUCCCAAAGAUGUUGGAUGGGGUUAAAGUCAGCCUCUGUACAGUGCAUGCUAUUUCACGCCCACCUGAAAAAAAGUGCAAUUUGAUUUGUCAAGAUGGAAAACCCAACAUUUUCUAAAAUGUCCUCCACUGCUGUCACAUUC
ensembl:lncRNA